rnacentral:rRNA from 1 species
ACCGACUAGUGUUGCAAAACUAGCGGAUGAGCUGUGGAUAGGGGUGAAAGGCUAAACAAACUUGGAAAUAGCUGGUUCUCUCCGAAAAACUAUUUAGGUAGUGCCUCAAGUAUUACCGUCGGGGGUAGAGCACUGUUUAGGCUAGGGGGUCAUGGCGACUUACCAAACCUAUGCAAACUCCGAAUACCGACGAGUACAGCUUGGGAGACAGAGCACCGGGUGCUAACGUCCGGACUCAAGAGGGAAACAACCCAGACCGCCAGCUAAGGUCCCUAAAAUUGGCUAAGUGGGAAACGAAGUGGGAAGGCUAAAACAGUCAGGAUGUUGGCUUAGAAGCAGCCAUCAUUUAAAGAAAGCGUAAUAGCUCACUGAUCGAGUCGUCCUGCGCGGAAGAUGUAACG